rnacentral:rRNA from 1 species
GAUGAACGCGGGCGGUGUGCCUAAUACAUGCAAGUCGAGCGCACUGGCCCAACAGAAAUGACGUGCUUGCACUGAUUUGACGUUGGAUUCCCAGUGAGCGGCGGACGGGUGAGUAACACGUGGGCAACCUGCCCCAAAGCGGGGGAUAACAUUUGGAAACAGGUGCUAAUACCGCAUAACUUGGAAAACCACAUGGUUUUCCAAUAAAAGAUGGUUUCGGCUAUCACUUUGGGAUGGGCCCGCGGUGCAUUAGCUAGUUGGUAAGGUAACGGCUUACCAAGGCGAUGAUGCAUAGCCGAGUUGAGAGACUGAUCGGCCACAAUGGAACUGAGACACGGUCCAUACUCCUACGGGAGGCAGCAGUAGGGAAUCUUCCACAAUGGGCGCAAGCCUGAUGGAGCAACACCGCGUGAGUGAAGAAGGGUUUCGGCUCGUAAAACUCUGUUGUUGGAGAAGAACGUGCGUAAGAGUAACUGUUUACGCAGUGACGGUAUCCAACCAGAAAGUCACGGCUAACUACGUGCCAGCAGCCGCGGUAAUACGUAGGUGGCAAGCGUUAUCCGGAUUUAUUGGGCGUAAAGCGAGCGCAGGCGGUUGCUUAGGUCUGAUGUGAAAGCCUUCGGCUUAACCGAAGAAGUGCAUCGGAAACCGGGCGACUUGAGUGCAGAAGAGGACAGUGGAACUCCAUGUGUAGCGGUGGAAUGCGUAGAUAUAUGGAAGAACACCAGUGGCGAAGGCGGCUGUCUGGUCUGCAACUGACGCUGAGGCUCGAAAGCAUGGGUAGCGAACAGG